rnacentral:tRNA from 1 species
GAGGGUAUAGCUCAGUGGUAGAGCGCGUGCUUAGCGUACACAGGUCCUGGGUUCAAUCCCCAGCACUUCCA